rnacentral:sRNA from 1 species
GUGUUAGAGUGUUAGAUAUCAAAAUAAAUGAUUUUUUUUUCAAUUAAAUGAUCUUUAAAAUAUUGAGACGAAAAGGUUAGCUACAUUUUGCAGCAAGACAUCGUAAUAGUAAAAGUGGAUGUUCGUCAGUCACGCUUAUGAUAUCAAUAACGCUAUUAUAAUUUAUAUAUUAAAUAGUAUGGUUCACUACAAAUUCCAUGUGGAUGAGAGUACAUCAUGUUUGAUUUGUUUAAAAUAAGUUAAAAACCCCAAGCAAGUUUCGAAGUCAUGAAAAACACAACCAAACGCUUCAACCAACUGCCCUAUACUAUUAUUCCAACAAUAUUACAAAAGGAAAAUAAGUAAAAAAGUUAUUUUAAUAGCUUAUCUUUAAUCACAAUGUUUGAACAAUUCAUUUUACAUGAUUUAAGGUUCUUUAUUAAGCAAGUUGAAUGCAAGGAUUUAGUUGAUAUACAUUCGUAAGAAUGGUAUCAAGUAAUUAAUGAUAAUAAUCAUUAAUAAAAUAUGAAUAAAUGAUACAAAGUCCAAUCUAUACAAUAUUUACGCGAUAAACGUUUUCCGUUCCGUUCCGUUUUCCGUUCCGCGUUUUAGCAACACCCUGGGGUGGGAGGGGGUUCCUAGGCUUAUUUUUGGUAACUUUUAAACUAUGUAAAUGUAACAAGUUAAUAUCCCCGAGCACCAGUAGUCUAUUACAAUUCUAAUUCUUCUGUUUUGAAAUACUGUAUGCAGAAAGUACUUGAUCCCAUUUUAUUUUUGCCAUCAUUGUUAGCAGGCAUUAUUUGGCAUAUUUAAGAUUAGGCGAAUUUCAACAUGUCCACUUAUUUCUCUUAAAAAACAACUAUGUCUGAGCAGAAUUAAGAUUGGUAACAGGUUGAAGCCGUUUGCAAGUGAAGAAGGGCAAAAAUAACAUGGAUCGAAUAUAACCCUGUAUAUAGUAUCCCGCAAAGGGAAUUCCAUCUCCAAGUACCUAAUUCAAACCGGUUACUGUUGUGGUGUCUCAAUUUAAGUUCACUUUAAUUGCAAAUAAAAUAUUUUGAUAUCAACAGCUAUGAAAAAAAGACUAAGAAAAUAUAGAUUUCGUGAAAUACCAAUACAUGGCCGUAUUGCGGAUGCCUCACAAUUGAAACGAUGAUCAAUUAUUUUAACUAAUUUUUUUUAAUGAGGUGAACAGGACCUGACCCCGGAGUCAUAAAAGUUAGAUGAUGAGCUCACUUUUGAUCUGUGUCCCACUUUUCCUCUUUAUAUAUUAAUCCUUUUGUAAAACUGAGACCUGAGGU